rnacentral:piRNA from 1 species
UGCUAUGGCUCACAUACUUCCAGGC